CUUGUGAACUCGUUUGACGUGGCCCAAGUACGGUUCCAAUCCAAAGAACGCAAGUUACCAAGAACGCCUAAAAUGCCCGGAUGUGUACUUGAUCCGCCAAUAUUAUCGAGGAUGCAUAGGUUGGUGACUUGUUCAGCGAGAACGCAUCUGAUAUCCAAGAAGUAAUUUCAAGAUUUCAGGAGAGAAGGCACUCUACCAUGGCCAAAACAAACCCGCAAAUGACCGCAUCCUGGUAAAGCAUUUACCGUAAUGGCUGAUACCUGCUGAUUCGCCAAGUUCUUCUGAACACAGUAAAAAAAAAAUUGUGGGGCUACCACAAACACAAUGGAUGUGGGGACUACAAACAUAACAAGAAUGAGGCGACUCAGAGUAAGGUGACCACAUCCAAGGAAUAGGGUUUGCUAUGUAGGGAAUAUUGUUAACUAUGUAGCUGGGUUCGCUGUGUAGGGAGUAGGAUGCCAUUUGGAAGAAACACACUAAUAGAAUCAACUCCCCCACAGAGGUUUAUUUCACAUCACUUGGCCUCUUUAAUGUGAUUUGCAUGGGUCUGCUGUCUGCUUGAGGCUCCACUGUCCACCACAAAUGCUUUGCUUAUUAUUAAAGGGUAAAUUCACUAUUUUACAAGUUGGUGCUUCAUCGCCUGAACAUAUUACAGUAUGGGCCUAGAUAAACUGUAAUCCAUGGUUUGGUUUUCUUUAAACAGCCAUUAGAAACUUCAGAUACCCUUUGCCACAACAAUCUUAAUAUAUUUUUUGUGACAGUCAAAUAAAAUUAUGCAUAAUCAAAGUGAGUAAGAGUCUGCUCAGAAUGUUCACCACAGUGUAAAAAGUCUGUUAGGCUGGCCGGAAUGUUUACCACAGUGUAAAAAGUAUUUGUGAGGCUGGCCAGAAUGUUUACCACAAUGUAAAAAGUCUGUGUGAGGCUGGCCAGAAUGUUUACCACAAUGUAAAAAGUCUGUUUGAGGCUGACCAGAAUGUUUACCACAGUGUAAAAAGUAUUUGUGAGGCUGGCCAGAAUGUUUACCACAAUGUAAAAAGUCUGUGUGAGGCUGACCAGAAUGUUUACCACAGUGUAAAAAGUAUUUGUGAGGCUGGCCAGAAUGUUUACCACUGUGUAAAAAGUAUGUGUGAGGCUGGCCAGAAUGUUUACCACAAUGUAAAAAGUAUGUGUGAGCCUGGCCAGAAUGUUUACCACUGUGUAAAAAGUAUGUGUGAGGCUGGCCAGAAUGUUUACCACAAUGUAAAAAGUUUUUGUGAGCCUGGCCAGAAUGUUUACCACUGUGUAAAAAGUAUGUGUGAGCCUGGCCAGAAUGUUUACCACAUAAUGUAUAGGCUCUGUGUGAGGCUGGUUUCCUGGUUUCUAACCCCAGCAGGACUAAUGGGAUCAGCAACACUGUGCUCUAUUGACUGGCUUAACUCUGUCUUAAUCCAUCCUCCGUGUUCAGCCGCUCUGGUCCUACUCCCUCCCUCUUUACCUCCCUCUCUCUCCCCCUCUCCCUCUUUUUCUCCAACUCUCCCAAUCCCCCUCCAUCCCUCCAUGUCCGUCUCUCUUCCUCUCUCCCUGGGCUCCUGCCUCUCUGUCCCCCCCUCAGCCUCCCGCUCUCAUUCUUAAACACACAAACUCGUUACGCUAGCUUCUCACACAUUUGGUUACCUGGAAUCACCACAUCCCCCUACAAACGCAACUAAUUUUCCCUAGGCCUGUCCGACAUGUGGUCCACAACUCCUCACACAAGGGACCAGGGUGGUUUGUAAGAUCCCCCCCAACCGCCCCGUACCCACCCUUACCCACCUUCCCCUAACCCAAGAAACCAGACCACCUUCCCCCCUGCCUGCUGUACUCUCUCCUGACCCUCCAAGGCUUGGGCACAACGCUGGUCCUCAGAGUGAGCAAAUGGUCUGGAUCUCAAUGCAGAGACUUUGCCCCAUAACCUGCUCUGCAACUCGCCCGGCUGACGGAUGGUGUGUCUAUUCAACCACGGAUCCACAGUUUAACCCAGCGCGGACCAUCUGUACAUCAUCAUUCAUUCAUAAAUUCUCCCUCAAUCCCACACUGUCUUUCACUUCUCAACUGUGGCAGCAGUUUAUCUUCCCUUCACCAUGCAUAACGUCAGCUCUUCACAGUUGUCCUCGGUGGCCCGGUGGACUUCACAAAGGGGGCUGGCUGCGUUGUUGGAUUAUCACACAAGCCUGCAGCCGCUCCAUCUCGCAAUUUCCAAAUGUUGCUUUUGUUCUGAGUGAAUAGAGAGGUUGAGAGGAGGCAGACAUCAGAGAGUCCCACAGUGCAUCAGCAUUAACACAGACAGUCUUCUACGGGGCUGCUCCAUGCCAAGGUGGUGUCGUGUUUGGGUGUGUGCACAUACGUACGUGCGUGUGUGUGCUUGGGCCUGUGUGUAGGAGUGCAAAUGUACAUGCGUGUCUGUUUGGCUGAUACAUCUCUCACCUCUGUGCAUAAAUGGACUGCUUGGUUACAGUGUCUGUGGCGGCUGUGAAAGAAUAACUGGAGCCUACAAAUCAAUAUGACUGAUUUAUUUAUGGUUGUAUUGACCAUUUAUCCAUUAGAGGUGAUGGAGAGCGAAAGAGGGAGAGGAAGAUCAACCUGAAUAAGACUGACUCCAUGCUGUUGCUCAUAAUAUUUUGUUUUAUUGGGAGAAUGCAUUUCAAAACACAAAUUAAUCUUAAAUUAAAAGUUAGCCUUCAUAAAAUUGUACAAUCAAGUAUAUCAAUUGAAAGUGCAAAUUCAGGAAUCUGCUCAGUGUUGGACUGCAGAUAAUAAUAAUGAUAUUAUAAUAUUUUGGAGACAGCAUUAUUCUGUCUUGUAUUAACUUUAUGUAUUAGUGGUCCUGAAUAAAACCCUAAUUCUUGAGAAUAAAUUGUCGCACUCUGAAACUGAUCCAUAUAGGACCAAUCAAUAGUGAGGAAACAACAAUCAGUACAGGAAGGGAAUCCAAUCUGUAAGUGGCUUACAUGUUAAGGGUCAUGGUCGGCAAAUUAGCGUGCUGAUGGGUCAGUGGGAAAGGUCGUGGCCUACAGGAAGAAUGGUCAUGGUUCAGUUUCUGCAGGCAUAGAAACACAAGGUCA
ensembl:lncRNA